rnacentral:rRNA from 1 species
CAGCCGCCGCGGUAAUACGUAGGGGGCGAGCGUUGUCCGGAAUUAUUGGGCGUAAAGCGCGCGCAGGCGGUCCCUUAAGUCUGAUGUGAAAGCCCACGGCUCAACCGUGGAGGGUCAUUGGAAACUGGGGACUUGAGUGCAGAAGAGGAGAGCGGAAUUCCACGUGUAGCGGUGAAAUGCGUAGAGAUGUGGAGGAACACCAGUGGCGAAGGCGGCUCUCUGGUCUGUAACUGACGCUGAGGCGCGAAAGCGUGGGGAGCAAACAGGAUUAGAUACCCUGGUAGUCCACGCCGUAAACGAUGAGUGCUAAGUGUUAGAGGGGUUGUCCCUUUAGUGCUGUAGCUAACGCGUUAAGCACUCCGCCUGGGGAGUACGGCCGCAAGGCUGAAACUUAAAGGAAUUGGCGGG